rnacentral:rRNA from 1 species
UACGAAGGGUGCAAGCGUUACUCGGAAUUACUGGGCGUAAAGCGUGCGUAGGUGGUUUGUUAAGUCUGUUGUGAAAGCCCCGGGCUCAACCUGGGAAUGGCAAUGGAUACUGGCAGGCUAGAGUGCGGUAGAGGGUAGUGGAAUUCCCGGUGUAGCGGUGAAAUGCGUAGAGAUCGGGAGGAAUACCAGUGGCGAAGGCGGCUACCUGGACCAGCACUGACACUGAGGCACGAAAGCGUGGGGAGCAAACAGG